rnacentral:misc_RNA from 1 species
GAUGAAGAACGUAGCGAAAUGCGAUACGUAAUGUGAAUUGCAGAAUUCAGUGAAUCAUCGAAUCUUUGAACGCAUAUUGCGCUCUUUGGUAUUCCGAAGAGCAUGCUUGUUUGAGUAUCAGUAAACACCUCAACCUCUUCUUGAUUUUUCAAAAGGAGGGUGGACUUGAGCUAUCCCAACAACCUUUACCGGUCGGCGGGCGGCUUGAAAUGCAGGUGCAGCUGGACUUUUAUCUGAGCUAAAAGCAUAUCUAUUUAGUCCUCGUCAAACAGGAUUAUUACUUUUGCUGCAGCUAACAUAAAGGAUAAUUGUCCUCUUUGCUGACUGAUGCAGGAUUUUACGACACUUUAUGUGUUGUUCAACUCGAUCUCAAAUCAAGUAAGACUUCCCGCUGAACUUAAGCAUAUCAAUAAGCGGAGGA